rnacentral:rRNA from 1 species
AUUGAACGCUGGCGGCAUGCCUUACACAUGCAAGUCGAACGGUAACAGGUCUUCGGAUGCUGACGCGUGGCGAACGGGUGAGUAAUACAUCGGAACGUGCCUAGUAGUGGGGAUAACUACCCGAAAGAGCGGCUAAUACCGCAAGAGCUCUACGGCUGAAAGCAGUGGAUCGCCAGACCAUGUGCUACUAGAGCGGCCGAUGGCAGAAUAGGUAGUGGGUGGGAUUAAAGCUUACCAAGACGACGAUCUGUAGCUGUUCGGAGAGGACGAUCAGGCACACUGGGACUGAGACAGGGCCCAGACUCCUACGGGAGGCAGCAGUGGGGAAUUAUGGACAAUGGGAGCAAGCCUGAUCCAGCAAUGCCGCGUGCAGGAUGAAGGCCUUCGGGUUGUAAACUGCUUUGUACGGAACGAAAAGCCCUGGGUUAAUACCCUGGGGUCAUGGCGGUACCGUAAGAAUAAGCACCGGCUAACUACGUGCCAGCAGCCGCGGUAA